GACGAACGCUGGCGGCGUGCCUAAUACAUGCAAGUUGAGCGCUGAAGGUUGGUACUUGUACCGACUGGAUGAGCAGCGAACGGGUGAGUAACGCGUGGGGAAUCUGCCUUUGAGCGGGGGACAACAUUUGGAAACGAAUGCUAAUACCGCAUAAAAACUUUAAACACAAGUUUUAAGUUGAAAGAUGCAAUUGCAUCACUCAAAGAUGAUCCCGCGUUGUAUUAGCUAGUUGGUGAGGUAAAGGCUCACCAAGGCGAUGAUACAUAGCCGACCUGAGAGGGUGAUCGGCCAAAAUGGGACUGAGACACGGCCCAAACUCCUACGGGAGGGAGCAGUAGGGAAUCUUCGGCAAUGGACGAAAGUCUGACCGAGCAACGCCGCGUGAGUGAAGAAGGUUUUCGGAUCGUAAAACUCUGUUGGUAGAGAAGAACGUUGGUGAGAGUGGAAAGCUCAUCAAGUGACGGUAACUACCCAGAAAGGGACGGCUAACUACGUG
rnacentral:rRNA from 1 species